UAACCCUCGCCAACCUGACGGUAACACGUCGGGAGAAGCGGAUUUGGACGUUGCCGGUCGUGAGAUCGGCUCGUCUCGAAAUGCAUUAGCUGACGUGAGACGCAUGCGCGACGUUGAUAAUUGUCUACGCCUCGUGGGUGUCGAGCGACGCUUCCAAUCGCCGUGAAGGCAACGUAUCGAA
rnacentral:misc_RNA from 1 species